GACGAACGCUGGCGGCGUGCCUAAUACAUGCAAGUUGAGCGCUGAAGGUUGGUACUUGUACCAACUGGAUGAGCAGCGAACGGGUGAGUAACGCGUGGGGAAUCUGCCUUUGAGCGGGGGACAACAUUUGGAAACGAAUGCUAAUACCGCAUAAAAACUUUAAACACAAGUUUUAAGUUUGAAAGAUGCAAUUGCAUCACUCAAAGAUGAUCCCGCGUUGUAUUAGCUAGUUGGUGAGGUAAAGGCUCACCAAGGCGAUGAUACAUAGCCGACCUGAGAGGGUGAUCGGCCACAUUGGGACUGUGACACGGCCCAAACUCCUACGGGAGGCAGCAGUAGGGAAUCUUCGGCAAUGGACGAAAGUCUGACCGAGCAACGCCGCGUGAGUGAAGAAGGUUUUCGGAUCGUAAAACUCUGUUGGUAGAGAAGAACGUUGGUGAGAGUGGAAAGCUCAUCAAGUGACGGUAACUACCCAGAAAGGGACGGCUAACUACGUG
rnacentral:rRNA from 1 species